rnacentral:tRNA from 3 species
GCCCAUGUAGCUCAGUCGGUAGAGCACCUCCUUGGUAAGGAGGAGGUCACCGGUUCGAGUCCGGUCGUGGGCUCCA